ACAAAUUUCAACCUUAGAUAUUAGAAGUAGUUAAACAUUUUCAUUUAUAUUGAUAUAUGAUUGUUUUGGAAUUUUUUUUAUAUUGGUACAUGUAUUAAGGUAUUUUGGUGCUCUCUUUUGAAAUCGACAAUUUAAUAGAAUUACUAACACUUCCUCUCUGGAGGAAAAAUAUGUAAAUCUGGUUUUGAACUUAGGCUAUGAAAGAGGGUUUGGAUGGGGUUAAAUGACUAAAGAAUAAUGCCCUUAAAAAAUGAAGAUGAGAGAAUAACGGGCAAAAAAAAUGAAGAUUAGAGAAAAAAGGGGUGAAAAUUAAAUGUUUACAGAAAAACAGACCCCCCCAUCCAGA
rnacentral:lncRNA from 1 species